rnacentral:rRNA from 1 species
GACAGAGGGUGCAAACGUUGUUCGGAAUUACUGGGCGUAAAGCGCGUGUAGGCGGCCAUCUAAGUCGGGCGUGAAAUCCCACGGCUCAACCCGUGGAAGUGCACUCGAAAACUGGAUGGCUAGAGUCCUGGAGAGGAAGGUGGAAUGCUUGGUGUAGAGGUGAAAUUCGUAGAUAUCAAAGCGGAACACCGGUGGCGAAGGCGGCCUUGACUGGGACG